CUUGGCAACCCAAACCCAGAGAUUAUAAAAUCCAACAAAGAGUCAUCGUAUCCAACUCUUGUCAAAACCAAGACACGCUUUCUGAGACACAAGUCCAACUUCGCGAGGAGGACUGAAACAACACUGUGACUAAUCCCCACUGCAGGAGAGAAAACAACGCAGUUGCUCCAAGUGAUGAAGAGACCAGAACAAGUACAGGAGGUUGGACCCUCCUGUUCCUGCCCCAGCAGCAGCCCUGGAGAAGGCUAAAACUACAGCAGGCAGAUGAGGUCCUGUCUUCCCACAUAGCACAUCUCCCCCAUACUGCCACAACCGCACCCUGAAGCCCACCUCAGCCUCCAAACACCAUGUGCAGGGAGAGGGGAGGUAGUUAUUCAGCAGGUCAGAGAUCAGAGGAAACCCUCAGAGGCAAAAUGAAGGAUGAUGAUGAUGACAGACUUGCAUUUUCUUCUGAUUUUAGUCUAUAAACUGUAAGUCAUAGUGUUGCUUCUUGACUCCAUUUGUCAAAAUAAAAAAUCUUCUUGAAGUUAAGAGAACUUUAAUGUUACAAAGUUCAUUUACGGUGACUUUCCAUUGCCUUCUUUAGAUCUGUACAAAUCCUGAAAAUAUGAAUGACGUCUCGAUGCAGAACUUCCUGUAUUCUUCAUAGCUCCCCUCUACACUCUGCAUCAUACAUUCACAGAAGGUUGCAGUCUGGUUGUAUGAGACCUUGGUUCCCAUUAGUUUUCUUCCCUGUCAGGUUCGUCCAAGCUAUUUUUCUCUGCUCCGGGAUACAGACAGUGUAGAGAAGCAGGCUGCAGACAGACAGUGAGAGGAUGCUGUUCUUUGUGCUGAUGCUAUAAUCGGUGAGGGAGUGCUCUCUGUUUUUGCUGCUGCCAGUGACGUAUGGAUGGAACUCAACAAGGGACCCAUCCUGAGCCGGAGACACAACAGCAGGGCCCUGGCACUUAGCUUCCUGUAAAAGAGGCCUCUGGGAGUGUAGGUUGGGGGGGGGGUAUGGGACUAGAGAGAGAGAGGGGCACUGUAGAUACAGAUCCCAUGAUCUUCCCAGGUGGGCUCUUCAUGGGGCUGAGGAAGUCAGACGGGGAGGAGGUGCAGCACUAAUGGGCCUCCCGUGGGGUUCCACAGACGCCUGCAACUUUCCUCUGCCUCUUCACUCGCCACUGUAUCUUGGAGACAAAGCCAGUGGGGCUGUCACUCUCUUGUCUCUCUCCUCCUCCAUCUCUAUCUAUCGUUCUCCACCUGCUUUGCUGCUGCCACAAACCCCUGUGGGGCUACUACAGUCUUGCUGACAAAUAGUGCGUAGGUGAAAGCUUAUCCCACCACACCCAGACUGUCUCUGGCCUCCUGCCUGCUGCAAACAGCAGGGAACUACAGAGUCCACAGGAGGACAGGACGCAGAGGGAGAGUAUGAGCUUUAUACUGCAGGAAGUCAUCGGGAACCCAAGUGUUGUGUUUACCUCUUUGUACAUCUUUAUUCAUUGUUAAUGAUUAAAUGAUUUACUGGAAAUGAAAAAGAUGAUGUACCAGCUCUAUUCAACAUGGAGUCAUUAGGAAGGUCACAUAUCAACGUUUCAUUAUAAAUGUUUUCAUACCACCCACACCAUCUCUUAGUGACUACAGAUAUCUUUGCUUACAUGAGCUCUGCUCCUCUACCAAAAAUAAAAUCUGUAAAUCACUUUGUUUUGGUGACAGGAACCAUGUUGCUAUUUCUGUAGCAUGAAGCAGCAGGCUACUGUAUUUCAUUACUGCCCUGUCAGCCACUCUUGAUACUUAUAUAACACAGAGCGGUGGCUGCUGUAUCUCUUUUCUCCCUACACAUCAAUGGGUUUUUCAUUUACAAUAUUCAAUCAAACUCAAAACUCUCAGCCCCACCAUAACGCCCAUUAACAGUCUGUUGGCCUGUCAGGGCCACACCUUUCCAACAUCUUUGAACCAUGAGGUCGGAUCUGGAUAGAGAGAACAGCUGGUGGUUGGACCGGCUACACCAGGCCAGCAGUGCCAAAUUACCUCCUCUUAGAGAGCCAUAACCCAGUGCCUUACAUUCUGUUGGGGCCAGACUAACAGCUGCCAGGUGCCAGAUGAGGCAAAUUGAAGCGAGGUGUCCUGCCAGCCAAAACAGACAGUAACAGAUUCUCCUUCCAUUUGGCAGAGGAGUGUGGGUAGUUUGACCUGGCUGGCAGGUGGACUGCAGCAUCUACAGUUUUAGAUGUACAGCAGGCUUCUCAGUGACAGCAUGUCACCAUGUGAGAUAUGGGUCAAGUUCACAAGUUGACACAAGCGCAUACUCUUAGACAGGAUCACAGACAUACGGGCGAUUAUAGGCUUAAUUGUGACUUACACGUGACAUGUUAAUGGCUCUUGGCAAUAAAAAUUGGUCAGCAAGGAGGUGCAGAUUGACAAAGUGUUUGUGGCGAUGUGCUCUCAGUCUUUCAUCCAGCUUAUGUGUGAAUGAAAAUUCAGUGGACUGAGAAUUAAGGAACUCUUCCUUUAAAUUACAUAUGGCAUGAAGUCAUCAUUUAGGUCAAUUCUCUUUGUUGUUUGUAACAAUUGUGAAAACAAAUAUCUUUCUAAAACUUAAGCUCUUGUUAUGAUAGGUUCUUAUCUGAUUGGUACGGGUUUUAGUCCCAGAGAGGUUAAUAUUUGCACAGGGGUGACUGACUCGACUAGAACUGCUGUAACAAUCAGAGCUGAUGAACAACCAGCCACAGUCAAGAACACUCAAUAAGCUGUUAAUAUUGUAUAGUACUUGCAAUCAGGUCAAACUCUGAAUGCUUGCCUGAUUAUCAUUUUUGUCGCUCAUGGACCGGGUGAUUCUGGGUGAGCGAGUGUGUCUUUCUCUGUUCGAGUAGAUCUGUGUGUGAUUGUACAUGUGGACACAGCUGUAAAUUAAGCAGGGCUCAGGUCAAAUCUCAUUAGCCAUGAGGAGAGGCUCACUCCAUCAUAGUGAAGAGGAUGAACCCCCCCCCUUAAUUAAUCUCGUGCGUAACAACAUUGACACAAGCCAUCGUUUGAUUGUAGAGG